rnacentral:rRNA from 1 species
CCUACGGGUGGCAGCAGUCGAGAAUCAUUCACAAUGGGGGAAACCCUGAUGGUGCGACGCCGCGUGGGGGAAUGAAGGUCUUCGGAUUGUAAACCCCUGUCAUGUGGGAGCAAAUUAAAAAGAUAGUACCACAAGAGGAAGAGACGGCUAACUCUGUGACAGCAGCCGCGGUAAUACAGAGGUCUCAAGCGUUUUUCGGAAUCACUGGGCGUAAAGCGUACGUAGGCUGUUUCGUAAGUCGUGUGUGAAAGGCCCGGGCUCAACCCGCGGACGGCACAUGAUACUGCGAGACUAGAGUAAUGGAGGGGGAACCAGAAUUCUCGGUGUAGCAGUGAAAUGCGUAGAUAUCGAGAGGAACACUCGUGGCGAAGGCGGGUUCCUGGACAUUAACUGACGCUGAGGCACGAAGGCCAGGGGAGCGAAAGGGAUUAGAUACCCCAGUAGUC